GGACGACGUCAAGUCAUCAUGGCCCUUACGAGUAGGGCUACACACGUGCUACAAUGGCAUAUACAGAGGGCAGCAAGACCGCGAGGUGGAGCGAAUCCCAGAAAGUAUGUCGUAGUCCGGAUCGGAGUCUGCAACUCGACUCCGUGAAGUCGGAAUCGCUAGUAAUCGUGGAUCAGAAUGCCACGGUGAAUACGUUCCCGGGCCUUGUACACACCGCCCGUCACACCAUGGGAGUGGGCUGCACCAGAAGUAGAUAGCUUAACCUUCGGGAGGGCGUUUACCACGGUGUGGUUCAUGACUGGGGUGAAGUCGUAACAAGGUAGCCCUAGGGGAACCUGGGGCUGGAUCACCUCCUUACAAAAAAGAUU
rnacentral:rRNA from 1 species